rnacentral:lncRNA from 1 species
GAGGGCCGAUCUCAGAAAUCGAAGAGGUUUGCUUUCUCAAAAGCUGGGCUGCUCAGAGACCACGAGGGUCAAUCUCAGAAAUCGAAGAGGCACCUACUUUUCCAGCCUUGUCAGCACCUGUCACACGCACACUCAGUUUUGCGGAAAUUAUGGGCAUUCUGUCGAAGAUUUCUGGCGAAGUAGAAAGCACAUGAAUCGUACUGUUCAAUCACCCACUUCCCACACGCAACAGUAGCUCAUGGGUACCACAUAUAACUUUGCCAAAGUUCUCUGACAAAGUUGAGACAACUUUUCCAGCCUUGUCAGCACCUGUCACACGCACACUCAGCUUUGCGGAAAUUAUGGGCAUUCUAUCGAAGAUUUCUGGCGAAGUAGAAAGCACAGGAAUCGUACUGUUCAAUCACCCACUUCCCACACGCAACAGUAGCUCAUGGGUACCACAUAUAACUUUGCCAAAGU